CGACUCCUCCCUUCUCCCUCUCAGUCCCGCAGGGAAGCUGGGCUGGGCGAGAGGGUGUCUCCUGGGUCCACCGUGGAAGCCCGAGGCGCGGGUGCGGAGCCAGCCCAGGGCUGCCGGCGUGAGCUGCAGGGCUGGCCUGGUGCUCAUCCUCUGCCCGGGGCGCGGGAAAGGCGAGGGACGCUGUGCUGGAUCUGUGUGCUCAGUGGCCAUGCGUCGGCCUCAGGACUGGGAACGAGGCGAGAGACACAGAUGUGCAGGAUCUGCGCUUGCAGCCACCUUACUUCGUGGGCUGUACCUGAGGUGACAGGCAGGGUCUUCUCUGAUGAAGUUACCCACACGAGUCACCACGGGAUGACGGUGAGCAGGUGCCACGGAAGGUAACACUGAGCGCAUGCGGUUAAAGGACAAGAGGGAAAGGGUGAGGGCAGACCAACGGUCAUUUUCACAACUCUUCUAUGUUAGUCAGGGUUCUCUAGAGGGACAGCACUGAUAGGAUAGACCUAUAUAUGAAGGGAAGUUUAUUAAGGAAUAUUGACUCACACGAUCACAAGGUGAAGUCCCACAAUAGGCUGUCUGCAAGCUAAGGAACAAGGAAGCCAGUCUGAGUCCCCAAACCUCAAAAGUAGGGAAGCCAACAAUGCAGUCUUCAGUCUGUGGCUGAAGGCCCGGGAGCACCUGGCAAACUACUGGUGUAAGCCCAAGAGUCCAAAAGCUGAAGAACUUGGAGUCCAGUGUUUGAGGGCAGGAAGCAUCCAGCUCGGAAGAAAGAUGGAGGCGGGAAGACUCAGCCAGUCAAGUCCUUCCACGUUUGUCUGCCUGCUGUUAUCCUACCUGCACUGGCAGCUGAUUAGAUGAUGCCCACCCAAUUGAGGGUGGGUCUGCCUCUCCCAGUCCACUGAAAUGAAAUGCUAAUCUCCUUUGGCAAUACCCUCACAGACACACCCAGG
rnacentral:lncRNA from 10 species